GGAUAUUUUCCUGAAAAUCUGAUGUCUACAGUUUCGGGGUCCUGGUAUUGGAGAUAAUUAGCAGCAAGAAGAAUACAAGCUUCUGUAUCCCUGAGCAACAGCUAGGCUUUCUUGCCUUUGCAUAUAUGGCAGUUGUGGAAUGAAGGCAGGGGCUUGGAAUUGGUAGAUGAAGAAUUGGCUGAUUCAUAUUCUUCAUCAGACGUAAUGAGAUGUGUUCAUAUUGGGCUUCUUUGUGUACAAGACAAUGCCGCAGAUAGGCCAACCAUGCCGGAUAUAGUUUUGAUGCUAGGUACUGACACAGAUAUUCCACAACCUACGCAGCCGCCACCAUACCGUGAUUGGAGGACGAUAAGCGACUGGAAAUUGUUGCAUCACAAUCAUCCAAUAAAUUGCAAAGAUCGACCUUGA